rnacentral:sRNA from 1 species
AGUGAACUUCGUUUGAAGUGAAAAUCCUUUUUAUUCGCCUUUUCGGCGGAUAGAAAGAUUGCAACGAAAAGCGGGACACGAG